rnacentral:misc_RNA from 1 species
UUCUUGCCUCUGUAAGCAUGGACAGGUCUACUGUUAUCUGAGCAGACUUGAGGGUAUUUUUUUCUUUCUUUUGGAUGACUGUGUUCUCCUCCUUUUCUGAUCGACCUGUGGCUAAGUUAGCUCAAUGCAGUACAGGGCCGAUGUCUUCAACGGGAUUAUGGCGGCCCACAUUUUUCCGUCGCUCGCCGAUGUGUUAACGGACUCGCUGACAGCCGAAGAUUUUGGACCCCUGGACCUGUCCUUAGGCAAUAUGGCGGGCACUGGCUCUGACGGGCGCGGUUUGGACGAGAGUGACUUCCUCAAUCCUUCAGCACUCUCCGAUCCUGAAGACUCCAGUAUAUACGAGCUGUCACAGCCCUCCGACCUUCUGGUCCACUUCCCUAUGUGGUCAGUCUCCCAGCCCCUCGUGAAUUGUGACGGCACCAAUGAACUCGGACAAGUUCAGUACGAAGUAGAGGUACCGACCGACGGGUCACUGACGUCAUACCCCCACAGCCCCGGAUCAACGGGAGAUCACUCGGACUAUAGCUCAGAUUCUUCUGGCGCCGAUUUGAAUCAUCGACAAGGAAUGAUUGCUCUUCAGCGCAUGGGCCACUCUCAUCGCGACCCCGCCCUAUCAGAAAUAGAAGUAAAAUCCGAACCCAACACGGGUCUUCCGGAUCCAUCAAUCUUGCCGUCCAAGUACUAUGAAGAUGAAGAUGACGUCAUGAGUGAGACGGACAGUGACGAACAUUCCAGUAGUUCGGAGAAAAAGAAGCGCCCUGGACGGAAGAAGGGACAAACGUCCAGUGUCUAUCAUCUGUGGGAGUUUAUCCGCGAUCUUUUGCACGACGAGCGGUACUGUCCGCGGAUUAUAAAAUGGGAAUCGGAAGAGGAAGGGAUUUUCCGGGUCGUCAAGUCGGAUGAAGGUGGCCAAACAAUGGGGCAGCAAGAAAAACAACCGGUCCAAAAUGACCUACGAAAAACUCAGUCGUUCACUCAGAUAUUCAAGAAAAGAAGGCUACUUUGCAGAUAUUCCAAAAGACAGAGGCCUGCCAAAGAAACUGUGUUUUAAAUUUGGACCAAAAGCACACGGCUGGCAUAAGAACUCACUGUAGUGAUCUGAGUUGAUAUUUCAGAGGCUGAAUAAUCACAGUGUACCGGAGUAAGUACAUACCGGUGCAUUAAUAUGUGAUCGGUAUGGUUGAUGUUACAGUAGAUUAUUGUUCGACCAGUCGGCCAUGGCUGCAUAUUCAGUGUUCUUAUGGUAGAAACUCUACCGGCGACAUAUAUUAACAAUAUCCCACGGUAGAAAAUGAUCAUAUAUGAUAUUGAUUUUUGUAAAUUUUUUCAACUUUGUACUGACACAGAGAUAUGUAUAUUUAUGCAAUAUAUAGACUAUAUUUUUAGCCAUAUCAAUGAUAGCCUUUGUAAAUUACAUUUGAUCUGUUUAGAUAUACUUCAGCAACUGUUAAAAGUUGUUGGUAUAGUUUAACAUAGUUGAAAUGUUCUUUUUGCCAUAAAAGCAUGAAAUCAAAUAAAAUUACGAACUAU